UUAGCCUUAAACCUCAAUAGUUAAACAACAAAACUAUUCGCCAGAAUACUACAAGCAACAGCUUAAAACUCAAAGGACUUGGCGGUGCUUUAUAUUCCCCCUAGAGGAGCCUGUUCCAUAAUCGAUAAACCCCGAUCCACCCUACCCUCUCUUGCUCAGCCUAUAUACCGCCAUCUUCAGCAAACCCUGACAAAGGCCACAAAGUGAGCGCAAAUGCCCUCCCCGCCGCAAAAACGUUAGGUCAAGGUGUAGCCCAUGAGACGGUAAAAAAUGGGCUACAUUUUCUACCUCAGAAAAUCUUACGAUACCUCUUAUGAAACCUAAGAGUCUAAGGAGGAUUUAGCAGUAAAU
rnacentral:rRNA from 1 species